GAUGAACGCUGGCGGCGUGCCUAAUACAUGCAAGUCGAGCGAACAGACGAGGAGCUUGCUCCUCUGACGUUAGCGGCGGACGGGUGAGUAACACGUGGAUAACCUACCUAUAAGACUGGGAUAACUUCGGGAAACCGGAGCUAAUACCGGAUAAUAUAUUGAACCGCAUGGUUCAAUAGUGAAAGACGGUUUUGCUGUCACUUAUAGAUGAAUCCGCGCCGCAUUAGCUAGUUGGUAAGGUAACGGCUUACCAAGGCAACGAUGCGUAGCCGACCUGAGAGGGUGAUCGGCCACACUGGAACUGAGACACGGUCCAGACUCCUACGGGAGGCAGCAGUAGGGAAUCUUCGGCAAUGGGCGAAAGCCUGACGGAGCAACGCCGCGUGAGUGAUGAAGGUCUUCGGAUCGUAAAACUCUGUUAUUAGGGAAGAACAAAUGUGUAAGUAACUAUGCACGUCUUGACGGUACCUAAUCAGAAAGCCACGGCUAACUACGUG
rnacentral:rRNA from 1 species